CAAAAUUAGGAUUUCUUAUAUAUAAAUCAACACUUCUUUUUCUUAGUAGAUGAUACUACUUACUCUUUAUAAUGCUGUGGAAGUAAUCUCCACUGCUGUGACCAAGUUGCAAGUACUCAACACCUUCCUAAAUCAAUGAAAAGGUUUACAUUGCUUCAAACUUGGUCAUCUGUGGUUCUUGGUGUGUGGCUAUCACAAGUAUGUUGGCUUUCAUUCAAGCUCAAGGCACCUUUAUAAUGAGCAUCUUGGCUAGGCUGCUUGAGGUCAUGGCCAAAGCCAUGGUUUGUUUGGUGACGGCUUUGUUUGUUGGUCUUAUUGGUGGCAUUGCAUCUAUUAUUGCACAAUAUAACUGCAAUAAUGACACCAAUGAUGAGGAUAUUUUGAAAGUCUUGUUUCACAAUUAGUAUAGGCUGCAAUUGUUUCCAUUGUGCAUUUCUAUUUGUUGAUUUAGGAUGCAGUUGGAAUCAACUUGAUGGAAUGGUCAAUCAAUCAAGGAUAUUGAGAACGGCCAUUGAGCUAUAGUAUGUACCUACCAUGAGGAGAUUAAUUCCAAGGACGCCAUUGAGAAGUGCUCCAAUUUGCAAACAAAAUUUUACGUGAAAUGGAUUCAUUAUAAUGGCCAAUUUCUACAACUACAAAGAUUUUGUGGUGAGCCGGCCUCUAAUUUUUAUAAAUACAAGCAAGUCAAAUGUGACUUCUUUGUAAUUGGAUGAGAGAAGGACAAGUAUUAGCAAUGCCUUACUGACUUUUCUUUUGAGAGUAUUCUACACUCAAAACAGUUCCAGAGAGUUUGUCAAAUUUAAUAAGGAUGGAUUAUUUUAGAUAGCUCUAUAGAUAAAUUUCAUCCAUCUUUGAUUUAUUAAAAAUAAAACUUGGCCAGGUUCCUAGAAUAAGAUAAGUUAGGUAUUUUAGGAAAAGCCCUAGUUUAAAGUGGCCUUGUACAAUGCAUUGUACAUUGCAUUGUACUUGGUAUCAAGAUGUCUUUGCGUGCAUACUUCUAAUCAAAGCACUUUUUUAAAGCCAAUAUCCACACAAGAUUCAUAUUAAUAAAUACAUUGCUUACCAAGCCUCAUUUAGAAACCCUGCAUAGAUGCAACCAAAAAUAAACAGUCCUGAUUCCCCUCUCAACACCAAUUUUUUAGAUGAUGAGUGAUUUUCAAAACUUUCACUCAUCAUCUAAUUUUUUGGUUUUAUCUUUUUCUAACUCAUUGUCUAAUUUUAAAUCUCCUUUGGAAAAACAUCUAAUUUAAUUUAAAAGAAAAUAAAAUUCUC
rnacentral:lncRNA from 1 species